rnacentral:rRNA from 1 species
CUACGGGCGGCAGCAGUGAGGAAUAUUGCACAAUGGGGGGAACCCUGAUGCAGCAACGCCGCGUGGAGGAUGACGCAUUUCGGUGUGUAAACUCCUUUUAUAUGUCAAGAAAAUGACGGUAGCAUAUGAAUAAGCACCGGCUAACUCCGUGCCAGCAGCCGCGGUAAUACGGAGGGUGCAAGCGUUACUUGGAAUCACUGGGCGUAAAGGACGCGUAGGCGGGUUGGAAAGUCAGGUGUGAAAUCCUACAGCUUAACUGUAGAACUGCACUUGAAACUUCUAAUCUAGAGUAUGGGAGGGGGAGAUGGAAUUAGUGGUGUAGGGGUAAAAUCCGUAAAUAUCACUAGGAAUACCUAAAGCGAAGGCGAUCUCCUGGAACAUUACUGACGCUAAGGCGUGAAAGCGUGGGGAGCAAACAGGAUUAGAUACCCCGGUAGUC